ensembl:lncRNA
GUACAGACUGCUGCCAUGCCGGCUGGCUAGGUCACUCUCCCAUCAUUAAAGGAAAUCAGAACAGGAACUCAAGCAGUUCUGGAACCUGGAGACUGGAGCUGAUGCAGAGGACAUGGAGGGACACUAAUUGGCUUGUGUCGUGUGGUUUCAUCAGCCUGCUGUCCUAUGGACUUCAGGACCACCAGCCCAAGCAUGGCAGAGCCACAGUGAGCUAUGCCCUCCCAUAUUAAUCACUAAUAAAGAAAUGUUUACAGGUUUGCCUCCAGACUGAUCUUAAGGAGGCAUUUGCUUAAUUGAGGUUCCUUCCUUUUAGAUGACUUUAACUUAUAUCAAGUUGACAUAAAUCUAUCCAGGACAUGGGAAAUAUAUUAAAUUACAUGAGGCUAUGGAAUACAUUUCUCAUUCAAACCAGUACAUCAAUCAUGAUGAGUGAUGUAUGUAUUAAAAGAAUUACUAUCUAUAUUAUGAAAUUUCUAAAUACGUACAUGAUAAAAUUAAAUUUUGCUUUAAGAAGUUAAUAUUUAGGAUAAUUUUCUAGCCUGAUUACCUUAAAUUGAUGUACUUAUUACUAAAGUGUCAUAAACCUUGUAAUUAUCUGUAGUAUUUGAAUGCUUCACUAGUGUUUCUCCCCGUGAGUACUGGUGUAGUAUUAGUAUGAAUACUUCUCUAAUAUUACUUCUGUAAACAUUUUCCUGCAUUGAAAUUUGUUCCUCUCUUUUAGAGUGGCAAGUACGGCUCUAUUAUCCAUAUCUAUCCUAGAAUAUUUAUGACUUUGGUUGGCUGCUUUUACAACUUAGAAAUAGUAACCAGAAAUAUUGAUACUUUUAUUAUUUUUUGUUUUCCAAGACACUUAAUUAUAGACGGAAGCAAGCUAGUUAUUAUAUAUUUAAUAUAUGCUUAUUUAUAUAACUUACUUUAGGAGAGUAGAAAAUAAGCUUUUCGUGGUUAGAAUAAUGUGAUUUGGAUACAGAAUACUUCCCAAAAAUGUGUUAAGCCCCAAAAUUAACAUUUACAUAAUAUAAACUUUAUGUACUUGCAAAGUGUGUAUGAAAUAUAGAAAUUCAUAGGUGAUUAAUAACAAAAUUAAUUAUGCAAGUAUAAUGAAUGCAUAUUGAGAAGUCAAUGACAUAAAUAAAAUACUUUUCAAUAUCAAUGAAAAUUUCUUUAGAAGUGUAAAAAGUUAUGUUAAAUUGCUAAAAUUCAAUCAAUUCAUGUAUAAACAAUAUUUUAAUUAUCUGAAAAAUGUUUGAAUAAUUAUUAACUCCCCCUUAACAAAGAAUUAAAAACAGUUAAUAGAAGGAGAAUUAUCUUCUCCCAAUGAUAAGAAACCUUACACAUUGACCAAUGCAGAAUGGACUGUUAUGAGACUAUUUACCAGCAAAUGCCUACACACACACACACACACACACACACACACACACACACACACACACACACACUUAAAACAAAGAGUCUAUCAAGUUGAGAGUGGGUGAUUCAUGGGUGGGGAUAAAAGUGGGGUAUAUUGGAGAGUCUGAAGAGAAGAAAGAUGGGAGUGGUGAUAUAAAUGUACUUCAAUUAAAACAUUAAGGAUGAAAAAUAAAAUAAAAAUGGAAAAAUAAUAAAUGCUACAAAAUAAUCCAAGAAAAUGAGCCAAAUAUCAGACAAUACAGUGCUGAACACUCACUUGUAUAAAAAGAAAAAAUGGUUCUUACAAUAUUUUGUAAUUUUCAGGAGGCAUAGGCAGACAGAUCUCUGUGAGUUUGAGACCAGCCUGGUCUACAAGAGAUAGUUCCAAGACAGCCUCCAAAGCCACAGAGAAACCGUGUCUUGAAAAAAACAAAAAAAUAUUUUGUAAUUUUUAAAAGUAGAGGCUAAUAUAUCAACCUUCAUCAACCUGUCCAGAACUGUCUGUGAGACCUGGGAUUUGAAGACAUUGAAGAAGACUAGGGCAGACUACAGUCUAAUACUACAGGCAAUUUUACCUCAGUUUCAACAUUCCUUUAUACAUGAAUGCACCAAUGAAAGUGAUGGUCCCCAAGGAAGGUUUUGUAAGUUCAGAAAAACAUGUAUAUAAAUGUCAGUAACUACAUACUAAGUCUUAGAAGAGCAGCCCUUUCCCAGAAAUUUCUCAGUACAGACCCAUUUAAACACAUUUCCUACCACAUCCUUUAGAUCAUUGCUGGGAUAUCAUUAGUCUAGAAGGCCAUAUCCAGAAUCAUGGUACACUUACCAGAUUGUGUUCUAUAGCUAUGUUCUGACAUCCAACAAGAAUAAACAUGUCUUAUAAAUUGAAUGCAAAUGUUUGUCACAGGGGGCAUGGAAUCACACCGGAAAUCAAUGCAAGGAAGUCUUCUGCCUUUUUCUCUCACAUGUUAAUUAACAAUUUGGAGAUAUAAGGCAAUUGUAUCAAUAUAUUUAAGUAUAACAAAGAAAAACUCCAAUUAGAUAGAUUAAUGUGGUAUUUGAGGAAAUUAAUAUCAUGCAUUAUUUAAGAAAAAUGACCUAACUAGGUUGGAAAUGUAAAUAUUUUUUUGUGAUUUGCCUAGGUAGAUUUGGAACAUUUCUGAAGUGUGUGCCCAUGCAUUCAAUAUAGAGAGAUAACAAGCAAAAAUUAAACCAAUGCCUCUUACUUUAAGUUCAGAAAAACAAAACAAAAUAAUGCCAGCAACACAUAACAGUCAUUCAAAUGAUUUGGUGCCUGGACCUUUAAUACUUGAGAGUGAAAAUAAUUUUUAAUUCUUGUAUCCCUCUACUACCUGAAAUUCAAUAAAUAUUCUUCUCUCUCAUACUUACAGACAUUAAUUCAGCUAUUUCUCUUUAAUCCCAUUAAUACUUCUAUUACUGGAAAUACAGGUAAGUACAUUUUCACAGUAUAAAUAUUUGCACAAGUAAUUCUAGACAGUAAAAUACAUACUGUAGGAAGGAUGAAGAAUAAAGCAAGCCUGCUGCCAAUAUAUUUUCAAGUUUAGAUUGUAUUUUGUGCUUUAUCCUUAAUUUGUGCUGGAGAAUAAUGUGAAUAAUGAAUAAACCAAGUUGGAAACAGUAAUUUAGAUAAGAAAAAUCUAUUAUGUAAUAAUAUGGAAAUGUCAUAAAAAACAUCUACAAUCAAUCUCUGAUGCAGUACAAUUGAAAAGUCCUAAUUAUUAUUUUACUACUUAUUUACUAACUAUUGACAACAACUGAGGAAAGCUAGGAGUUGAAGAUUAGUCUUUUUCUAGUAGAGCUCACCUCGUGGUGUCCAACUACCAAAAGUUUAGCCCUGAAAACAUACAUACAAGUUACACAAUACAAUCUGAGCAGGUUAUAUUUAGUAAGACAUAAGCAUACGCAUGUACAUAAUGCAUGUAAUAAUUACUAAUGAAUUAAAGGGCCAUGAGUUUAGGAGGUGUCUAUGAGAGGGUGUGGAGGGAGGUGAGGGAAGGGAGAAGUGUUUAAAUUAUAAUACCAAAAGGAAAAGACCAAGCAAACAGAAUCACUUGCCAGUUACACCCCUGUGUUGGGAUAUUUUAAUAGCUCCUGUAACUGCUGAAUGCCACAUGACCUGCUAUUACAAACCCUAGUUUGAAAGCACUAUGGAAAUUCCUUCAGAUUGCACUGUAGCUUACAAUUGUCUAUACAUAGGUAGAAGGUAAUUAUCAUACCAUGUAUUUGUGGAAAGGAAAGAAGGCAAAAAUUAUGUUGAAAGAGAAAAUGGCACCACAGAAAAUUCAAAUGAUUGGUUAUAAGUAAUAAUAUCUACAACAAUAUGCUCCCAGCCUCCGCUCACUAUAUAAUUUUAUAUUUAUUGAUAUCAUUUGUAUAUAUUUUUAAGAUACAAACAAUAAUUAUGUUAUUUAUUGUUAAGCACUUAGCAGAAACAAUUGCUUAAUUUAAAAUUUCUUACAUUAUUUCUACAAGGGCUAUUUUUAACAGUGAGGGAAAUAUCCAUAUUAAACUAUAUGUAAAUAUAGUUGACACACACUUAACUGUUAUUUCUGCAGAUAUUUUAUGGUGUUUGCUUCUGUCUGUGGGCAUAAACUCCCCAAUGGAUGUCACUGCAGAUGCCAGAGACUUCAGGUCUGCAGCUGGAUAAUAGAUGGUUGUGACAUCAUUACAAAAUGCUGUGAAGGCCCCCAUAACCAUGGAGACAUGUCUCUAACACUUCAUAUCGUUUAUAAGAAAGUGAGAUUUUCAAGAAAUUAUGCUAAAGUAACAAUAUCUAAGAGUUUUUAGUUUAAGAUCAUAUUAAUCAUAUUCAUUUAGAAAAUAUUUCAUUUAAAAUAUAAUCCUUCAACAGUAAUGAAUGCAAAAUUGCAAUAUUAUUCUUGUUUUUUUCUACUGUUAUUAUUGAUUAUACAUCUUUUUAGUAUAUAAUAUAUUCUGAUUAUUGUUUCCUCUCUCAAUUCUUUCAGAUCCUUCCCACACUUUCUUCAAAAUCCAUAUCAUUUUGUUCUCUCAUUAGAAAAAAAUUGGAUUAAAAAUAAUAAAAUAUACAAACAAAACAAAUCCAAAAUAGGAUAAAAGAACAACAAACAGAAGUAAAUGGGUCAAAGUAAAAGAUCAAGAAAUGCUUGUAGACACAGAGACGCAUAGUUCACAUACACAUAAAUCACAUAAAAACACAAAACCAUGAAUCACAAUAUAUAUGCAAAGGAUGGAUAAAGUAAAACAACAACAAACAGUGCAACAAAUGCCUUCAUAAUUCCUCCAUAAAGAUAGCUAUUACACUUCAUUGUAUUAAUGUGAUUUGUUCGGAGACUUUCAUUUUUGUUUUCCUUUUUUGAAUUUCAAGCAAUUCAAACUACAAUAACUCCUUUACUGCUAAGUUCCUAAAAGUAUCAAGAAUUAACUGAUAAUUUUUAUUAUAAAAAACUUGUGAAUCACAAAGAUAUUAGAGUUUUGAACUAGGAAACUAGGAGAUAACCAAACAGAAGUUAGGAAAAAACCAAUAUAGUGAUUUCCGAUAAUAUUCUGCUAUACUUAUAGAUUGCUGUCAUCAUCAGAGACUUCCCCUGGCACCAGAAGGGAGCAGGUGUAGAAAACUACAGCCAGACAUUAUGCAGAAAGAGGGUCUAAAUCAGAGGUCUCCAUCAUGUCCCUCCAAUAGGAGCUUGGAUUAGGAGCUUGGAAAAAUCCAGUGGAGAAUGGGGAGGAAAGAUUAUAGAAGUCAGAGGAAAUGGGGAUGGAGGAACGCUAGCCAACCAGAGCCUGAAAAACAUGGCUCUGGAAGUCUUUGUUCUUCUCCCCCAUUCACUGCAUCUUGCUAAAAACCUUUACAAAAAUCUUCUUUUAUAUUUGGCCACGUCCUUCUUCAGAGACUCACUACCAAGGUCCAGCUAUCAAAAUACUGAAAUCCACUAAUCAAAAGUCCUUUGGGAUCACCAAAAUGGCAUGCCGAAAUAAAAUUAAAUAUAUCAUCCUAACACUGAGUUUUUCCUUUUACCUUUGUAAACAGCCAUUAGCUUACGAUCAGUGUCUGUCUCCAUUCGAUCCAUGUGCAGUUCUUUGUGCCCCUAAGGACAGAUAUUGCUUUCCCCUCUCCCUUUUUUCCUAUUUCUUCUCCAUCAUCCUCUAUUUUCUUUCUUUACUUCAUAUUCCCUGCCUUUUGUCCCUCUUGGGCAAACAAAGCUCUUUUUUUGCUGUGAACUUGGUCUUCGGGUGUCCAGAGUCAAUAUGAGUCCCUACAGAGGAUACCAGAAGAACAUGGCCCACUUAAUUAACUAAGCAGGACUCAGAUGGGCUCACAGAGACUGAAGUAACAAGCAUUAUUGGACCUGCAGAGUUCAACACCUGGUCCUCUAUGUAUAUGUUUUGGCUGUUAGUUUGGUGUUUUUGUUAAGACUCCAAAUGGUGGGAGUAGAUGUAUCUUUGACUCCUUUCCCUACCUUUGGGUCUCUUUUCCUCUUGUUAGGUUGCCUUGUUCAGCCUCAAUAUGAAGACUUUUGUCUUGUCACAUUGUAUUUUAUCAUGUUAUUUUGGCUGCUGUGUCUUGGAAACCUGUGUUCUGUUGGAGGAAGAGUGGCUCUGGGGGAAAGGGGAGGUGGGUUGUGUCUGGAAGGAGUGGAAAGACAGGAAUCAGUGGUCAGAAUGUGACAGAAGAAGCUAUUUUCAAUAUGAAAAUUAAAGAAUAAUGUCUUAUAUUUAAAAUUUUUAUACAAUUUUCUUCUAUCUUUCCUUCAGAUUUAAUAUUUAAGUAAAAAUUAACUGUACUAACAUUGCAUGAAUUUCUUUAAGAAUUACUCAA